rnacentral:tRNA from 2 species
GCGGGUACGCUCAAGGUGAGUCGCCGGCCUUCCAAGCCGAGCUGCUGGAGUUCGAAUCUCCAUAUCCGCUCCA